AGAUCGGAGAAUCGGAAGCGGGGAUCGUCAUCAGCGCGUCGUUGUGAGUCCGAUGGUGUGUUCGGAUCGUCGAUCGGACUCCGGCGGCUGGAGGCGUGUCGACCGAGCGACCGAGCGUCUUGAUUGUCAGUUCGUUCGGCUCGCUCCUACCGAGGCACCGGAGCAGAGCUAGGAGGUCGCCAAUCCUGUGAGUUAAAGUCAUCUAAUCAUUGCGCUAUUGCUAAGUUUGAUUUUAAUAUGCUAUUUUGAAAGUUCAUGCUUAAUAUGGUUAUUAGUUUCGCAAAGUAAAUAAUUUCACUGAAUUACUAAUUAUUAAAGGUAAUAUAAGUAUUAUUAUAGUAAUGUUAUAAUAAUUCCAAAUAUCAUCAGUUUUCCACCUGAGCUGCCUGAUGUUUUACUCUUAAUUGUUAAUCAUUAAUUUGAUAUGGUUGAAUGACUUCAUUAUACAAUGAUAUUUAUUAAAUGGAUGAUUAUGUCUUGGGAAACGUGGCUUGUAGAACAUGCCGCCUGAUGGGUUACAUCAGGACCGCGUGCGCACCGGUAAUGAACAUGGACAUAAGGUUAUUAUGGAUUUGUUUGCCCUGAUCGAGCUUGCUCUCUGGGCGCCGGCUUAUUUGGAAUUCAAGUGUUCAGGCUGGAGGUAAGGACCCUGAUCGAGCUUGCUCUCUGGGCGCCAGACCUGUUGGAUUAAGAGAGCCGAAAGGCUACUAGAAUUUGGGGUUUAGGGUUCUACCGAGCCACUCGUUCCGUAAAAGUAAAUAUAUAUUUUUAUUUAUUUAUUUAUUAUGGUAUUUGAUUAUAAUGUGAUUUGUAUUUACGUGCAUGGUUGAUAUUUUGAUUCGAAUGAUUAAUAUUUUAUGUGAAGGAAAUAGUAGGGUACGAUUACAGUAUGGUUUGAUAUACUGAUUUGAAUAAUCUAUGUUUUUUGAGAAGAAGCAAUAGUCCCUAGAUUAUUUGAUUUUAACUCACUCUCGAGACUGACAGUCUCCAUUUAUUGUUUUUCAGAUUCGUGACUGUUAGUUCUCUCGCGACUCUUAUUCAGUAACCCGACUCCUUCAUCAUCGGGUGACGUAUCUGAUUUGGUAUGUAAAUUGGUAAAUCUUAGAUUCUCCGCAGUAGUAAUUAGCAGAUGUAUCAGUUGUAAAUUUUCUGAGCUUCGGGUCUCGUCUAGUUUUUCUGGUAGGCCGAAGUAAUUUUUGUAAAGUG
rnacentral:lncRNA from 1 species